GGCCUGCCGGGCCGCGGCGCCACCUGAGGCUGCCGGGACGCUGGAGCGUGGGGGAGUGGGAGCUUCUCCUGGCUUCCAGUGCAUCUUGGCCAAGGAGGCUGCCUCAUUUCUGUCCUUUCCUUGCUUUCGGUGCUUCCUAGAACUUCUCGGUUGAAUUCCAGUGUUUUCUCCUAGAGGAUCUAUUCUAACUACUCCCCAAACAGCUGCUCCAAUAUAUUCUACCUAGGAUUUUUAGCUGCAUUCAAUGGGUGAGACAGGAGGAAUGUGCUUACUCCAUCUUACCAGGAACCAGAACCUGAUAAUCGUGAUUUUUAAUGCAAUACCAGAAACCUUGAAUAACACUAUCAGUUCCCUGUGAAGUGCCACUAGUGAUGCUGGAAUUUCUGCCAAGAAGCAGAGAAAAGUCCUGACGUUACAAGAAAAUGUUGAAUAAUGUUGAAUUGCUUGAUAUGUACAAUGGACUGGGGAUCUGCAGCUGUGGUUGCUCACCAUUUCAAGAUAAAUGAAUCCAGCAUGAGGACCAUUCUAAAAAAGGAAAAGGAAAUUCAUGAAGCUGUCACUGAAGCUAUGCCAGCAGGUGCUAAAAUCUUGCACUUUUUGCAAAAUACCCUUUUAUCUUGUUUUGAAAAUACAGCUUUCAUGUGGGUACAGGAUUCCUAUGAGAAAGACAUAUCCAUAGACUAUAAUGAUUUGAGAAAAUGUGAAGUCAUUAUAUGACAACUUAAAGCAAAAGGAAGGUGAAGGAUCUAAAGCUGGAGAAUUUAAUGCCAGCAAAGGAUGGUCUGAUAAUUUUAGACAGGUGUUUGGCUUUAAAAAUAUCAAGAUAACAAGAGAAGCAGCUUCUGCUGACCAAGAAGCAGCAGACAAGUUCUCAGCCACCAUUAAGAAAAUCAUUGAGAAGAAAGGAUAUCUACCUGAGGUGUUUAAUGUAGACAAAAGUGCUUGACUCUUGGGGAAAAAAAUGCCACAAAGGACAUUUAUUAGUAAGGAAGACAUGAGUGCCUCCGACUAUGAGUAGUCAGACCAUGAGGAAGAAGACAUAGAAGAACCAGUGCCAGAAAACAAAUUGACAGACAAUCUGGCAGAAGGGUUCUGACUGUUCAAGACUGCUUUUGACUACUUCUGACACAGACCCUUCUAUGAAACAAGCACUGAAACUAAAGCAAACAAUGGAAGAAGGAUUGGUACAAUACAGAAACAUUGUUAGAGAAAUGAAAAAGAAAUAAACAAAUUAUGAUGUAUUUCCAUAAAGUUACACCAAGUAUGCCUACCUCUCUCUUGCCUCUCCUUCAACCUCCUUCAUGUAUUCUGCCUCUGCCACCCCAAGACAGCAAUACCCACCCCUCCUCUUCCUCCUUCUCAGCCUACUCAACACAAAGACAACACGGAUGAAGACCUUUAUGAUAAUUCACUUUCAUUUAAUGACAUGUAGGACAUGCCUGCUUCCUCUUUGCCUUCCACCAUGAUUAUAAGUUUCCUGAGGCCUCCCCAGCCAUGCUUCCUGUACAGCCUGCAGAACUGUGAGUCAAUUAAACCUAUUUUCUUUAUAAAUUACCCAGUCUCAGGAGGUAGUGCCUUUUAGCAAUGUGAGAAUGGACAAAUACAAAAAUCAUACUUGCAAACUGGAAUAAACCCCACUUGGUCAUGAUAUAGUAUUUUAAAAACGUGCUUUGGAUUCCACAUGCUAAUACUUAAAAGUUUUUACACUGAUACUCAUUGAGUGAGAAUGAUCUGCAGUACAAUAGGUUUUAAGGUUUUAGAUCAAUGUUGUACUUUAUAAUAUCAAUUUUGACAAUUUCCUCUUUUUUAAUGUUCUAGUAAAGUUUAAGAACCAC
rnacentral:lncRNA from 10 species